CCCAAAGUGCUGGGAUUACAGGCGUGAGCCACGGCGCCCGGCCUGACAUUUCUAAUAGUGCAUGUAUUAAGAUGAAGAAGGAGGAGGAUUGGAGAACUGAGUAAAGGAAGAGGAGGACGAAGAAAGAAAAAGAAACCGAGGGACCAUUUUAAAUAAAAGAUAAAUCAAGAGAAAACUGUCUUACCAGAUUGCAUUCCCCAAAGUGAGGGCAGUCCAGAGUGGCACACCAAAGUAUUUCUGAUGCCAGAACUUCACCAUCAGAGACAGCAGUCCUCUUCCCUGGCCUGGACAAGAUCCCCAAGCUUCACUCCUGAGGCCAGUGAGACCACGAACCCACCAGGAGGAAUGAACAACUCCAGAGGGGAGGAACAAACCAACUCCACAUGUGCUGCCUUAAGAGCUGUGACACUCAUCGCAGAGGUCUGCAGCUUCACUCCUGAAGCCAGCGAGACCAUGAACCCACCAGAAGGAAGAAACUCCAAACAUGUCCAAACAUCAGAAGGAACAAACUCCGGACACACCAUCUUUUAAGAACUGUAACACUCACAGUGAGGGUCUGCGGCUUCAUUCUUGAAGUCAGUGAGCCCAAGAACCCACCAAUUCUGGACACAUUAGCAAUACCUAUUAUAAAUAUUGUGAAGAAACAUAGAAAAUUAUUUUUGGCUACAAUGAUCUGAUAUCCCAGGUUGCCAAGGAUAAUAACCUAGAAAACCAUAUUUUCCUCAGCUUGACCAAAUUUUAGACAGUCAUCUUUCUGCCUCUGAGCCCCUGAUUUCACCUUGUUACUUUUAAAGCAAAGCGUUUACUUUAGGGCAGUUCUAAUUGCAAAUUCCUUCUCUGAAACUUUGAGAUAUAAAUCUUUUUAAAAGCCCUUGCCAUAUUUCUCAAGGAAUAAGGAAACAUCCUUUUGAAAUAUAAUUGUCAAAGAAAGUAAUGCCUCUCUUUCUCUCAGUGUCUGUAGGAAACAACAACUAACUUAUGUAUGUUCCCUACUCCAAGUUGUAUAACUGCCUUCGGUCAUGAAAUUAUAAUAUGAAAUAUUUUUUUCCUUUGGUUAAGGGCAAGUAACAAACACAGAUGGCCUAUGAUUUUCCUUACUUAAGGUUGUAAAAUCUCUCCAGCACUUUGUUUUAGUAUUGUUCAGUUUGGACUCACUUUGGUCUUUCUCUCCUAUUGCGAUAGCUUUGAAAGAGGUCUUGCUUAUAAAGAACGCUCUAAAUUUCUUCGCCUUUUAAUUUAAAAAUUGUUGGAAAUCUUAAGCUCAAAUAUUCAACAAAAAGAGUACCAAAAAUUUUGGCUUUGAAGAUUUAAUUAAAGAUAAUUUAAAAAGUAUGUCAUUAAAAUUUAUACUUACUAAAUCAAUGUAGGAUGUGAAAAAUAUAGAAAAAUCAAAUGAGUAUACUUUUUAUUUUGAAAAUUUAAAAUAUAAAUACUUGGAAUAAUCUUUUAAUGGAGCUACUAUUUAAAAUUAAACUGAUUUAGGGUUUUUCCCCCAGAAUUAUAUAGAGUUGGGAAACUAAUUUUGCAGUAAUAAAGUUUGGUAGAAUAUUGAAAGUCAUAAAUAGUACUUAUUUGAUGAGUUUUGUCUUAUGAAAAUCUAUGUAAAAGGAAUUUUACAUGAAGGCAAAAUUCAGUAUCCAUGAAAACAUUUGGGCUGAAAUAUUUGCAUAUUUCCAUGUGAAAGGAAGUAGCAUUGAAAAUAUUAUCCUGUUGGCAAAAUCUAAUCAGUGCUUAAAAUGUCCUGCAUUAAUAGCACAGACAGUAUGUUUCCCGUUAAAAAUAACAUAUGGUUUUAGCAGUAAUUUCCAGUAAGCCACAUCAACCACAAAAUGGAUACCCACUGAAAAAAAUUUUCAGAUCUUUAAGCUCUUUGUAAUAACAGUAUGGGCAGGAAACUCUGGCCUGGGUUUUAAAAAAAUUUUCAGGGCUAAAACAUUUAUGACUAAUUAAAUUCACAACCAAAACCCUAGAUAACGUAUUACCUUAUGUCAGAGGAGAAUUAUACGUUUCCAAUUUAAUGCUAUUUUAAUUCAGCUUCUGCUAAAUUAGAGUUAUUAAAAUCUUCCGAUUUAUCUAAAAUAGAAGAUAACCUUGUUUUGUGACUCUACAGCUCUUUUGUACCCAAUGUCAAAUAUACAAUAAAAUAUACAGGUAAAGAGUAGAGGCAGAGAUUUAUAAUCAAUACAGAAAGUGAACAAUAAAAAAUUCAUAUAUUAGAGAAAAGGAUUUUACAAUGAAUGUUUUAAAUAUGAUAUAGAAACAGAAGAAAAAUAGAUGGAAAUAUAGAAAAUGCUACUAGAAAGUUUAAACUUUUUAAACUAUUAAAAUGGGCUUUCUAGAAUUGAAAAAAUGCAAUACCUGAAAUUAAUAUCAUAAUGUGUACAUUUAACAGCAGUUUGGACACAGAAGAAUGCUGAAUUAAUGAAACUAAACACAAAAACAAGAUAAUGGAAUAACACAAAAGGAAACAUAAGAUAGGAAAAGGAAAGAGAGAGAGAAUAGAGAUGAAAAGAAAAGACUAGGUCAGAGUUAAAUAAACGUGUAUCUUGCAUACGGAAGAAAAGAAAGUAUCAAUCCACAGAUUCAGCGAACAUAGAAUACUGCAAGCAGGAUAGAUUCGAAAAUAACUUUUUAAAGCACAUUAUAGUAAAUGCUGAAGACCUAAGACUGGGGGAAGAAAGACAAAAAGCCCCAGUAGAAAACAAGGCACUACUUUUAAUGAAGCAAAAAUAGAAUCGACAGCUGGAAUUUCAACAGAAAUAAGGAAAGAUGGAAGGCAGUGUAUUAACAUCUUUAAAUUUCUGAAAGAAUGUAACUGCCAACCCAGCAUUGAAAAACUGAGCCUGUAUCCUUCAAAAAGGGAUAAAUAAAUAUGUUUUUGGAUAGACAAAGACUGAGGGGUUUUAUUGUCAGCAGCCAUGCAAUACAAAAUGGAAAAUUUUAAAUAAUGACAGGGAUGUGCCGAAGAAAAUUUUGUAUCAGACAGUACUAAAUCAGCAAUGCAUAUGGUAAUCAUUAGAGUUGUUAUUAAAGAGAUAAUAAAACAAUCUAUAACAAAUAGAAGAAAGUAAGAAUCGCAAAAAUGUUUAAAGGAAGGCAAGAAAUCAAAAUCAAAGAAAUGUAAAAUAUGUAUCUAUACAAAAUGAAUAAUAAUAUCGUGUAUGUUAACCUAACUACAUCAGUAAUUGAAGUAAUUAAAUUAUAUGUAAAUGUGUAAAUGGACUAUGUCUUUGUGUAUACAUAGAUAUAGAUAUGUAUUUAUAUACUAUUAUCCCUGUGUUAAAUACUGUAUGUGUUCCCAAUGUUGAAUUUCUCAUGAAUGCUCACACACUGUGAGUUAGGGAUAUUACCAACAUGUUAAAUAUGAAAAAAACAAAGUGCAAAAAGAUCAAACUGUAUGCCUGUCUGAGUCUGUUUGGGCUACCAUAACAAAAUACCAUAGACCGG
rnacentral:lncRNA from 1 species